rnacentral:lncRNA from 1 species
UACUAUAUAGGAAGGAAUACCACACCCUCCCCACCUUAUAUAGUAAGCCCACUUUGACAAAAACAGAGCACAUUCUCUCUCUCCUCCUUUUCUUAUUACUCUCUCUCUAACUCUUUCUUAUUACUCUCUCUCUCUCUCUCUGGUUCACCAGGAAGAAAUUGUGUCUUAUCAGUGCUGCAUGUGCUUACGAUGGUGGCGGUGAAAGAAGAAAAAAGCUUAGAAGAAGGGCUUUUAAAGCUCAAGAACCAAAACGACGCUUCAGGAUGUCG